rnacentral:rRNA from 1 species
AUUGAACGCUGGCGGCAGGCCUAACACAUGCAAGUCGAGCGAGCGGCGGACGGGUGAGUAAUGUCUGGGAAAAUGCCUGAUGGAGGGGGAUCACUACUGGAAACGGUAGCUAAUACCGCAUACCAUCAGAUGUGCCCAGAUGGGAUGAGCUAGUAGGUGGGGUAACGGCUCACCUAGGCGACGAUCCCUAGCUGGUCUGCGAGGGUGACCAGCCACACGGGAACGGGGCCACGGUCCAGACUCCUACGGGAGGCAGCAGUGGGGAAUAUUGCACAAUGGGCGCAAGCCUGAUGCAGCCAUGCCGCGUGUGUGAAGAAGGCCUUCGGGUUGUAAAGCACUUUCAGCGGGGAGGCGUUACCCGCAGAAGAAGCACCGGCUAACUCCGUGCCAGCCGCCGCGGUAAUUC